AGAAAUCAAUAGAUUUCAACAUUUUAAGGAUGGGUCGUGGUCAUGUGGGGACUUCCGCCGAUUGAGAGAGCACUGAACGGGAAAGGGCAAUCACCUUCCCGUGGUACUGCCAUCAUCGCUUAGCAAAUUAUUGUCACGUGAGUAGUGACACUGCUGCUCCAAAGAUCUAUGUCAGGACUUAUAUUGACAGGUUCCCCAUCCAAGUCUAAUGUCAUGCUACUGAGUACUGGCCCCAUUUGGUGUAAUAUCAGCACUGUCAUCUGGACUGUGCAUAGCAGAUGGAAGCGCAGGUGUGGGCCUGGCUGAUCUGAAUUCUGAACGGAUCUCCAUCUUGUACAGUAUUUCUGUUAUUAUCAUAAUCCUGUAUAUUCGUAUGUAUGCAAAUUUUGCUUUUAUAGAAGUUCAUGUAGGAGUUGGAUUUCUUUUUCCCUUUGGGCUUGUUGAUCUUUGCGCCUUAAGAAGAAUUCAAUGCAACUUACUGGAUAGUGUAUACUGCUACUGGAAAUUUCUGUUACAUUCUCCUUUGCUCAGGUGCCUCUUCCCUUUAUGCCCUUAACAAUUUCUUACCUUUAGCACCUAACUAAAUUUUAUAUUGCAUUUUGUUAUGUUGCUCUAACAUCAUUUUUUUGGAAAAAUAUUACAUACGCGUCUGGGUUUUAAAUCUAUGUUGCUUUUAGCUUGAUGUUUUUAAUUAAUCUUUUCUGCCUUAAACAGUUGGUAACCAAGUGUCCUUGAGGCUCUUACCGUAUGAUCUUGACAAUUUUUUUAUUAAAAUUUUAAUUUGCAUCAAUUGUGUCUUUGCACCAACAUGGCAAUGAGUAAGAAUAUUCUAGAAAUAACAACAAUCACUUUCAGCCCAAAUUUUCAUUAUCUAAUAACCUGCAGUUGUUUGUAUUUUGCAAACACAUUUUUCUCUUUCAUUUUGUAAAGAACUGUGCUAUUCAAUACUAUGCCUUUUCCUCUUUAAAAGCUUGCUGCACUUUUGUUGCUCACAAAUAAAUAUUGAUGUGAUUUUCCCUCUGUCAAGUCGUUCCUGUUACGAUUACCAAUUAGCCUAUUUUUUAGGUCUUGCUGUAUUUCUUAUCAACAACCCAAAGAUCUGUUCCCACACCCUGUUCUACAGAAAGAUAUGGAUAAUGGGAGGAAACAUAAAUACAGUUGGUUCAUAUUUAUUUUGUUAUGAUUUAACAACUUGAUAGCUACGGGUGGUUUCUGCUCCGAAGUGCAUUUGAACAUACGUUGGGUCCUUAUAGAGUCCUCCACUAGUCUACCAUCUGUCCAUGCCACAUCUGUUUCUUAAGGAAAGUACUGUUUAUGCAGAAAAGCUGGCUCUAUAACCACUAGCAGGGAUUGAAAGUAAUGGAAAACAAUGCAUUCAGAGGGCCAUUUAUCAGGUUGCUAGCCCUUUCUGGUGGACAAUGCUUGUUCAUGACCUUGAGGAGGCAGUGCCACAGUGGCUUCUUGGAAAGCAAGGAAAUCAAGUGGCUGAUUGCCUGAUGGAUGUAUCAUGGGCAUUUUGUUGGUCCAGUCUGAGUUGGCCCCCCUCUGCACCAGUUUGUGGGUCGGCCUCUGCUACCCAUUUUCCCAGGGGGGCCAUCUCUUAUAUCUGAUGCAUCCUCAUCUUGGUGGCUUUCAAUCUUGUGAUGGUUACUUCUAGAGCCCCACCAUCAUAGCAGUGACAUAUACUCACAUGUAUUCUUUCUUUGGUAGCCCAUCCAAUGCUGUGAGCCUGCAAUGAAACUGCUAGGUUGAACAUCAAAAGCAUAGAACAGUAGAAGCAAGGAGACGGGGGAGAGAACAAAAUCCCCAUGGAGAUAUUGCUUUGUUUGUUGAAGAGGCAGGCCUGGAUACAUCAACUUCACAGUUUUGUUGUUGACUGGACCCACACAGAUACAGAUGACACAUACGUACACAUCUCUGUUUGUCUCCCCUUCGAUCUCCUUCGCAACUUGAUGUUUGCUGAAACCUCCCACGCAUGCCUGCUGCCAGAUCCCGUGCAGUAAGUAGGGUUUCUGGAAGCCAUGGAAAAAAAGAAAAAACAAACAGCAAAAGGCCACACUCUGGGGAUGGAAGGAAGAUUGCCCGGGAAACAAGGGAUCUCUCCACUUCCUUCCUUUUCUUUGCACAGGUCAAUUCAAACCUGUCACUUUGUGCAAGUAGUACUAGGCUGCUGCUAGCAACUACUUUGGUUGUUUGGAUUCUGCAAGCAUAGCCUAAAAUCUCCUCAUCAUGUUGUUGUUAUGUACUGCCCCUGUCAUAUUAAGUUCUAAAACUCGUUAUUAGCUAUAGGAACUUUAUAUAUGAUGCGUCUUAUUCUGAUGGUUUUACAGUGCUGACCAGGUAUUGGGAGCAUACGGGCUUUGAUCCAUGUAGCUGUAGAUUGUCGUUGGUGUCUCCGGCUCUGGAUCUGGUUCCGGCCCGCAGUCGAGGUUCACGCCAAACAACCGGAGCCGCCGAGGCGGUGCUGCUGAUGCUGCACUGCAACUCCUGCUGUAUCUGUCACACUGAGAUUCUCCUGCAAUUGUUCAGCAGAAAUGGUGUAAGAGGUAUGACGAGAAAACUAAGUUACAGUGCUUUCUUCCAUUUGGUUUUCAGUCUUUUACCUGCAUGUUGCAUGUUGCUGUGAUCAUUGUCCACUGAGUGACGGUAGGCAUGGGAAUUGGCCGGGCUGGUUGGGUAUGAACCUGAUGUGCUAUAGCACAUUGGGCUCCAAGGCUGCUGCUCUCCGCCAGCACUCUGUGCAGGGGCCGCUACGCACACGGCGGGUGGAGAUGCAGCAGCUCCUGUUGCACUCUCACCGCGGCGCCUGUAGCUGAUGAACAGGCGGUCAGCCAUGCCAAAGCCUCGCAUCCUCUCAAAGUGCACUACGUCACCAGCAUCAAGUUGCUUCUCUUUGAUGUACCGGCUCCAGCCCUUGGUAAGCACGUAGCUCUGGCUGCUAGUCCAGUAUGAGUACCGGAACCUCCAUGGCUUGCCGGCCUCAUCCUCAAAGGACAGGAUCAGGCCCUUCUCACUGGAGUCGCCGCUGAGGGGAAAGUACCUCUCGGCAUGCUGCUUGGGGAUCACCAGUCUGUUGAGCUUGCCUACAUCGCUUGGCGUCAGGGGCUUCUCGAACAGGUACUCCUUCUCGUAGUUGUGUUGGUAGUGUAGGUUCGUGUACAUGGCUACACCCCAGGGCCAGGCCUGAGGGUGCUCCUGGGAGAGGUGAUUCAUGGCCGUUCUGCUUGCUGGAGGGGAAGAAAGAGUUUGGGGAGCGAACAAGUGUGUGUUAGGUUCCUGUCUGCAGCGAAAGCUUGCCGGUAGGGAGGAGUAGCAGUGAUGGUGUGUCGCGUAGAGAACCAUGCAGGUUUCUUGGUCCGGCAUUUAUAGCCUACCAAGGAGAACAUUGGGGGCGUCUAUGGGAUGCAGUAUUAAUAUUUCCCUGGUGGUACAUGAGCGAUGAGGUCUUGAUGCAUUUGAUCUUGGAGGCGGAGGGCAGGAGUUUUUAAUCUGGGCUAGACAGGAGGAAUCAAAGUGAAGGGCUUCAGAGGUGCUGAGGUUAGAAUAUGUAGUCUGAGCAUGGCUGAUGAGGGACGAUCAGGUGGUGGCACUUCAAAGUUGGAGCCUGGCCAUUGUGGACUAACCACAGCCAUCCAGGGAGGUGGAGAGGAGUAGGCCCUACCAUUGCUUUCCAUGUGCUUUGGUGGUUGGAGCCUACGUGAGACCACUGUCAUUAGCUCCGGAUUUUAACCUGCAAAGUCUAGGUUUUUCAGUUCAAUCUGCCUCUAGGACGGUGAAAGAAAGUGCUGGUUAGGAGCUGAAGCUUGUAGAUUCUGGAGGCACGAGGUACCCUAGGCUAGAUUAGGUGAAAAGAUGCAUCGAUAGAUUGGCAGCAGUUUUAUACCUGUGGUCCGCUUGAGAAUAGCUGGUGAGCAGUUACUGGUUCAGGGUACACUGAUCUCGCAGGAUGUGACACUUGAGGUGUAUGGGCCGUGUGCUCUAACUAUCACGCACUAUUUUGUACUAGUACCAGCCAUUUUCUGAUCUCAGAUUCAAUACAAUCAAGGGUUUUGUCAGGCCUGUCUCAUUGAAUAGGUGGCUGACCACCUAAUAUAGCUGCAAAAACUUCCAAGUAACAAACUGGUUCUAGUUGGAUUCUUACAAAAUUGAUUGAAUUGGCUGUAAGAUAUUGUUUUCUCAUUCAAACCAUCCUUGUAGGACAACCUGCCUCUGUUGAGGACACUGGGGGUACAAAUGCAAAGCGAGAAUUCUCUAUUCCCCCGUGUUAGCUGAUCUUUUGUAAGGAUUGGUGCUCUCAUGCAUUGGGCAUUUGGGGAGCACCUCUCGUUGCUGGAGGAUUGGGAUGCAGAACAGUAUAUGAUCUGUUUAUUUACAUUUUUAAUGACAGAUCUGUAUCAAACUCUGUAUAAUAUUAAGGACAAAAUCAGCAAUGUCGCUUUGCUUGGUACUUUGGAGACAGGUAUUCCAUCACAUGGUAACGGACGGAGUAGUACAUGGUUAGAUACAUUGUAUGCUGACUAAUAUAUGCCUUUGUUAAGCAUUAUUCAGUUUGUCAACCUUUGGGAAACCAGCGGGCCAUUAGGGCCCCUCGUUCUGUUAGUAGAUGCGGUCAAGAGUCCGGCCACAAUAGUGACUGAAUGGAUCUUCAAAGAUAAUCACUCCACCGAUUCCGUUACUUGGCUUUUUCCAACAUUUAGGUGACUUCCAUAUAUUUGGAAAUGACAGAUACAGUUUUUUUUUCUUAACUAGCUUUUUCUCUUUUGGAUCCAGGACCAGAGAAGCGGGAAUAUGCGAUUAUUAUCUCACGUGGCAUUAGUCUUAUCUGACCUGCUUUCUGUUCCUGGGGCUUCAAGUUCCCAAGCGCCAAAAUAUUCUAACAUUGGAAUUGGAAAUAGGAUCAAGAUUGAACCUGCACAAAGAUCUGCCUUCUCCAAUUUCUAAAAGCAUUUUGAAUCAGAUGGGUGCAGCUCGGCCUCGGCUGUACGUGCUCUUGGCGAUCUUCGAGGCUGACUAAAACUUUCUGCGCCACGCACGUCCACGACUGCCGCAUCUCUGCGCCGGCGAUCUUGAUCUCUCUGGAGCGAGACGAUCUGAAUUCUGAGGCCGAGCCGGGCCUUCUUCUUUCUUUCUCGCGCACUGAGGAGCGAGAUGUUGGGUGCUCAGCUGGUGACGAGACGGGGACGGGAAGGAAGGCGAUGAUGGGGGAGAGGAACUGGUAUGCUGGGCGGACGCCUUUUCUUGCCGUGGCAGGGGCUGCAGGGCGUCGUGCCGCUGCGUCAUCGUCUACCUUUUCUCGUACGUGUCAGCGUGGGAGGAGGAAGGAAGGCUUCUUCGGUGGCGCAGGAGCAGGGGGGACAAAGCGGACGCAACAAAGCGCCUGUGGCGAGGCGUGACCGUUUGAACAGUGUCUGAAUCGCUGUGCCUGUGUGGCUGUGCAUGACACUGUGAUAGUGUGUGAUGGGCUGAUGGCUAGUUGCUGCCUUUUGAGAAGUGCUCCGAGUCCCAGAGGCAGUUGGUUUGAGGUCGCCAACUCACUGAGUAAGGGUUGGUGUAGACAAUUGGGUUCUGUUAGACUCUGGUAGGUACGAGUCUGGGUUUUAGCUAUGCUCUGGAGCUCUGUUUCUGUUUGUAAGCCUAUCUGUCAGUGUGGAUUGUUUGGCCGGCUGGUUGGCGAGCUGGAUCGUGGAACGAGGGUGGAAGGGUGAAUUGACCUUUCUAACCCUUUCUGGGUGAGUGUUA